rnacentral:tRNA from 1 species
ACUAUUUUGACAGAUAAUAUGUGCUGGAUUUAGGUUCCUGUUAAAUAGAAAUAAUUCUAUAAAUAGUU